rnacentral:lncRNA from 1 species
UGGUGGAGCUGUCGCGGCUGUCCGUCUCCGGUGGCGUGCCAGCGAUGCGCUCCGCGUCGGAUGGGACCGCCGCCACCGUCCCGGAGGAGGAAAGACUUUUUUUUUUUUGAGAAAGAGGAGUAAAGACUUGUGCACCGGCAUUUCCAGCGGCCGUGGAGCCGAUGUUCAGCUCAUCAGCUGCCGCACGAGAAAAUUGCUAUUACUACUUCCUAUAAUAGGACUUAUUUCGCUAAAAUAACCUUUAAAAUAUUGACACUUUGUUAUACAUGACAUUUGAUCUAUUUAAUCAAUUUGCUCAACUAAAAAAUAUAUAUUUUGCCAUGGAAUGACAUCUUGCCCUUCUAGCUUAGUGAUGUAGAAAUGUUUGUUGCUAAUCCAAUAAACUGCAUAUGUCCUAAGGGUCGUUGGGUAUUAGUGAAGGGAAUCUUAGGAUACUAACCAUUACCCGUUGCCAUAUAGGGAUAACCAAGAGCAUCAAUUGAGACAGAUAAUUUCCUUCCUUGUUUGUACUUAAAAAAUUGUUAAGUGUAUAACACGUAAAAAGAUGAUGAAAACUCUAAGGCUGUAACAGACUCUCAACGCUGAGGAUGUCGACGCUUAAACAUGGACAUCGCUCAAUGCAGUAUGUCAUUCUUUUAUGGUGUAAAAUCACUCCAUGCUUCUUGAAGGGUGCAUCAUGAGUGUAUCCCAUAGAUUUUGGUAGAAUCAAGUCAUUUCUCAUGUAUAUACAAUUGAACAAAAGUAAGAAGUGAGAAAAAGAUGAUCACCUCAUCCCUCAAACCAAACACACGAUCAAUGUCCGAGAAGACAUGAAGCCAUUGAGUAAUGAAUAUGAGCAUAUGAAAAACAUUACAGCCUGUCAUAACUUUCUCAAAAGUUUUCUUUUUGAAACACUACUUCCAUAUAAGCGUUCAAGCAAGAAGCUAGAAAAUACGGACUUUAAGAAUUAUUAAUAGAAUAUUUGAGGGAUAAACAAUGUAUGAAUUUAGAACAUGUACUGUUGUGUGACAUGUGGUUUGUGACAAAUGCAUGAAUUUUGCUGCGCGUUAUACUCAAUCUUAAGUUAUUAUAUACUCAUAGACGGUUCUUUCAAAUAUCCUAUUAAUAAUUUUUAAUUGCACAUAAAUUUAGAACAUGUACUAUGUUUUUUUUUGUUUUAAAAUUUCAACAGUUCAUCGGUUAGCCUCCUGUCCUCAUUAUCUGGCUUGGCACUUGAACCAAAAUUGAUUAGCACAAACACGAGACGUUGGCGUAAAGCAACAACAUAGGAGUAUCUUCAUACCCAUGUGAGUAGGGGCUUUUCACCUGAGAACAGAGGCUUCAUGUUUUUUUUAAGGUGGCAGCAAUCCAGAGUUAGGGACGCUAAGCUCCAUUUGUAUAGAGGAGUUGUACGGCGAUGGUCACCGCAUGGUAAUUAGCACAAAAUAUUGCCAAAGUUUGAGGAAUAGUUUCAGAUAGAAAAUCAUGGAAAGACUUGAGUACUUUAGGCAAAGGAACCGAAAGUUGACAUCAGGAAUCGUUGCACUUAGGUUUAGGGAGACUUGGUUUCAGAUAGAAAAUCAUGGAAAGACUUGGUGUGGCCAUAUCGAUAUCUCGUGCACGGCAGGUUUAGGGAGCUCAUUCGAGAUACAAAAGAGAAGCUCUGCCAUUAUUUCUGUGAGUUUGCUGUUCUUGUUUCUCUGUAUUGUAUUUUUGGCUGUCCUUUUAGGUACCCUCUUCUCUGUUAAUUAAACUCUGACAGUGCUCCUGCAAUGGCCGUUCGGAAAGUAAAAAAAUAUACAGGAAGGCGUGAAAAAUGAGAAUUAGUGAUGCUGGUGAUGCUUCAGGAUAUACGAAAGAUGAAAUAUGAAAGGUGCCGUAGGGGUCUCACAAAGUGUAUUCUACAGCUCACAGCCGCAACACAGGAAACUAACAGGUGGUUAACUGAACAUUUAAAUGUAUACAUAAACAUCAGUAUUUGCUACAAAAUGCCUGGCAUAGUCGCACACAGAGAGAAACUGCUCUUGUUAUUUCCCUUGGAAAUAUGUACAAGACGCCCUUGGUAAGUGGCGUUGACACUAUGUACAAGCUCGGAUGACUCCUAUUACGGCUCAGGAGAACACUUACUACACCUCAACCCCGAUCCUCUCUGCAACCUACAAUACAGUUACAAACAAAUCAGUGAAAAGUCACGCUUCAGAGAAAUAGUGCAGAUAACAUAAAACAGUAACAGGGGAUCCAGGGACAAGUUAUACAAUGCAACUGUUGGUAAAUCCUGGUGAAAUGCAACACAAAUAUAGAGCUGAUAGUGUUGGAAUUCUACAGGAAUGUUGAGCAGCAGAAAAAUAUACCUCCUUGAAGGAGUACACAUCACUGCCCCAAAGCCAGGCAUCGCAGCCUGCAUCCCUUGCUCCCCAUACGUCGUUCCUACGGUCAUCACCAAUAUGCACAGCUUCUUCAGGUUUCACUCCCAACAGCUCACAAGCCUUCAAGAAUAUUGUAGGGUUUGGCUUUUCUGCGGCAACCUGGAAGUUGAGCAGCAUCCAAGGAACAGAGUUUAAGACAAGAUUAAUAGGGAAACAGUAGCUGAAGUUUAGACACUAGUGCAUAAAUACAAGGCCAGGGAUUAAUUAGCAAGCUUUGCUAAACAAGGUCAUGUAAGGAAUGUUCUGAAAUGGAAACCAACCUCAGCAGAUAUAGCAACUGCAUCAAACCAGCCGUCACAUUUCAGUGCUUGUAGAAGUGGCCGAAGACGAGUGUCAAAGUUGGACACGACAGCUGUUUUGACACCAGCCCUCCUCAAUGCCUCAAAAACACGUCCAGCAUCUGGAUCGCAGAGAUGCCAAGCCUAGCAAACAUAUCACACAUUCACACUUUGUAAGCUUAUAUGCCAAAAGAAGAAGGUCAAAACAUUGCACACUGUAUCUCACCUUUUCAGUUGUAUAGUACUGAUACAGUUCCUCAAAAUACUGUAGAUCUGAACAGCCAGUGGAUGAACUCACUAUGUAUUGCCAAAAGGGCCUUCCAUCAUUAACAUACCUGGAGAAACUCAAAUGCAUUAGGAUUGGAUUUUAGCUGCAGUCCAAGCAGCAGCAUGAUUUUUGAAAGUGGUUUGAAAUCUGGAGGGCCACAACGCUCUCAGGCACAGCUCUUUUUAGUAACAUAACAAACCCAACAGUUUAUUCUAGUUCUACUACAUAAGUGGGCAGGCAAGAUGAGCUAGAAAUAAAUGAAAUGAAAGAACCAGCACUACUUCGGACCACCACCCAGAUGGCCAGAUAUGUUGAGAAAAAUUAGUGGCGAUAAUUUUUGACCAAGAUGUUUCACCUGAUAGGUCUAAGAAAACAGGCUGGAAGUACUUUUAUUGUUAUGUAGGAGUAUGCUUGAAAAGCACACAAAACCAGAUCAAGUUACUUUUGUCAACUGUACAGUAUUUGUCCUAUAACGCCUAAAUCAUAUAAUAAACCUGCAUCCUUGCAGUUGGCAGGAACCUAGGAAUUAGUGUUGCUUCUUUAUUUCUUUAUUUUUGUCUUUUUUCAGUAGUGGCAUAAAUAAACCAGCAAAACUAUGCUAUUUGGGAGAUUGAUGGAUUCAGAUAUAUUUAGGUUUGCUCUAUUUAUAGGGAUUCAACUUAAUCUCUCCACAUUGGAUGCAGACCUUUUAGCUGGAGGUCAGUAUAUAUAUGCGUGGUAUGUUAACUAUAUACAUGACAAAUUGCUUACAGUACCAAAAUUUUCCUAGCUUUCAUGCAGGGAACUUUCAAGCUGAUUGUUCCAAAAGACCCAUGCCACUGAACUUCUGAAGUGAUCGAUUGACAACUUCUAACCACUUUUAUUACCAUAUAGUCCACAGCUCGAUUGGAUUGCACAAUACCAUACCAAGUUACCAACAAACAUGUACAGUGGGGAGCAAUCAACUGAGGUCACAUAAUACACCAGUUCCACAUGCUUAUUCUCUCUAAAAAAAAAGUCAUGCAAAAUACGGCAAGUACCAUGAACAGUAACAAGUUUAGUGGGGCUUACCUCAGACGUGAUCUACCCCAUGGCUGCGCAUAAGCCCGGCGAUACCGCAUCAGAAUCUCAUCCUCUGAAUAAUCCACUCCAUACUUCUGGCCUAUCGUUCUGUACACCUGAAACAGACGUUUAAAACAGCACAGUAGACAUCAGAACACAUGCUUAAACGCAUCAGAGAAAGCAGAAGAGUGUUGUGCAAUUCGUCGUUCUGGGGACGAAACGAAACGAAACCAUCUAGUAGUAAAGCAAACAAAUCCUGAAGAGCACUGACAGAUCUCCCCAUAGCAUAGCCUGAGACCGCAUAUACAGAGGAGAGAAGCAACAGAUCAGAUCAAGUCCAAUCACUCCGCCACAGAGCGCGCACAGCCGAGCCGAAUUCAACUUGCAUGUCGCAGGAAUCGCUACCGAUGAUCAGAAAUGGGAUACAGAAACCACCGGACCACACAUGCAGCACCAGGCAAGCAACCGACCGGGCAGAGGACGCGAACCGGAGGGAGACGCGCGCGCGCGGCGGCGGCGGCAAUGGGAGGGAGGGAAUCGAGGGCGAGCGGAGCGGACCUGGGCCAUGGGUUCGGUGGGGGCGAGCAGCGUGCCGGCGGCGUCGACGAGGAUGGCCUUAUGCGUGAUGUCGCCGUAGAUGGCCCGCCGGUAGUCGUAGUACUCCCGCGCCCCCAUGAGCUCCCACCUCGCGGCCCCUGGCCCCGCGGUCGUGGCCACCUCCGCCGCCGUCCCGAGCGGCCGCCUCUCUCCGCGGGAGAGCGCCGGCGGCAGCCGGGCGGCGGCCGCCGCGCGCAGCCGCGCCACCGCCAUUGCUUGCGGGGCGGCGAGAUGAGGAGGAGGAGGAGGAGGAGGAAGAGCGUCGCCGUGCCGUCCCCGCCGCGCGUCGUGGGCGUGGGCUGUGGUGGUCCUCGGGGGGAACUAGUGGUGGCGGUUUAUAGGCGGCGAAGGCGUGGCGAGUGGUGACUGUGGCCUGAGGAGGGCCAGAGGUGGCUUUGCUGCUCGUUCCGCAGCUGGCUCUCAGGUGCUGUUUGGAACAGAUGGAUUUUUUUUUUGAAUGAAUUCUCUCAAUUUAAAUGGAGAACCGUAGAAAACAUGUUUGGUUCGGUAGAGAGCAUGAUGAAAAUCAGGCUAACAUGGACAUGACAUAUCGUCACACCAAGAUUACAACGCUUUAUUCGUAGAUGUUGGUAGACAAAAUCCCCGCAUAUUUGUGUCUUGUCUAUUGUAUCCGAAUAUAGAGUUUCUUAGGCCUUGUUUAGUUCCAAAUUUUUUUUGGUUUUUGGGACUCUAGCAUUUUCGUUUUUAUUUGACAAAAAUUUUUCAAUUAUGGAGUAACUAUGCUCAAAAGAUUCAUCUCACGAUUUACACGUAAACUGUGUAAUUAGUUUUUAUUUUCAUCUAUAUUUAGUGCUCCAUGCAUGUGCCGCAAGAUUCGAUGUGACGGAAAAUCUUGAAAAGUUUUUGGUUUUUGGAGUGAACUAAACAAGGCCUUAGACACAAGUGUUUUUCCUCUUUUAUUAGCAAUAGGGUGUUUAGUUUGUGAAAUGAGACUUUUAUUAUCUCAUCACUCUUAAUUUUUUUUCUUAGUUUGAGAAAUGGAAUAGUUUGUUUCAUCACACCACCCUCAUACCUUGUAAUCUAUACAUGGAUGAAGUCAUUUCAUCAAGAUAAUAACGUUGCUCGUCUACUCAAAUGCAACUUUCUUUAUGAACACCGACUUCCAAGUGCUCUCUGCUUAUUAUGAGCUCGAUCAAGUGGGAGUGAGGAUGGAGUUCAGAGACUGAGGGCGUGUUUGAUUUCUGAGCCGUGGGAGGUCAGGCUCAGAUGGUAAGCACUCUUUCCAGUGUCCACACGAGCCACUACACGCUCAAGCGAGCCCAGCCGUCUAGAAAUAGAGAUUCAUUGCGUUUUUUGGGAGUCAAGAGAGAGAAAAAAAUUUGCAUGCCAUAGACCUGGCUGAAAACUGAGCCAAGUGAAUUAAACAAGAGAAGUUGUACACGAUUUUGGCUCGUAUCAAACGCGCCCGAGUCGCUCGUGAUAUCCAUGUAACAGGAGUAUUUAUUUAUAUAUAUAUAACAAUCCAUCUUUCACCUUGGCUAGCCAGCGUACUAUGUUCCAAUGGGCGACAUUGGAUGGAUGCAUAUAUGCAGACACGUAAGACACCGGUUUUCAUCUCGGUGAAGAAGACCACAUCAGUCUGCCACAGAGCCAAUGGUUUCCCGUCCUGCCACGUCCUGCGGUUUUGUCAUGUACCGUCACGACGCCAAAGCAAUGCCAAAUUAUACACUUAUUACACAUCACCUUUUUUAUUUUCAUUAGUUUAGAGAGACAAUGGCAUAUGUUGCUCCUAUGACUUCGUAGUAGUAGUAUAAUGUUUGUGUGUGCGCUAAUUGGCCCGAGAGAGCCCGUUGAUUCAGGUUGCGCCCACCGGAAUACCGGAUCUUUGGGCCACGCUGUUGGCGUUACACGCGUGACGCACCGGGAGGAUCCACCGCACGUAAACAACGCCAUCAUGCUUUAGCCACUUGGUUUUGCUUUUGCCCGCGGCGUUUUUUUUUUUUUUUUUUGUUAAAGAAGGGAAUACUUUCGGUUGCAACCAAAAAAGAAAGAACGGAAGAAAGAAACGUUUCCUUUUAUUUAUUAUUAUAUUAUAAUACUCACUUCUGUUCAGAAUUCCAGGUGUAUGGAAGUGACAAAAUGAUUGGGAAUCAACAUUCAACCCCAUACGCUUCGGCACCCGUUCCAAGACGGAUCUGAUGCCAGUGCAGCCGCCAACAAACCAUCUUACUACUGUAUCAGUGAGUUCGUUAAGCACAGGUUGACAAACCUGGAUGGGCGCUAAACUGAACACCUCAACAUGUGUGAUCUAGAAAACCUGUUUGGAUCACCUAGCACUAGUUGUUAGAUUCUAGACUACGUGGAUCACCUAUAUGAGUACGUGACUUGAGUCACUGUUAGUUUACAAGUUGCUGGAACUAACUGUUCGAUGCAUAAAGUUUAGAUGACUAAAGCUCGAUCCUAUGAUAUUUGAGUACAUUACAUAGUAUAGUUAUUAGAGCAUUUUCACCGGUUCUCCAUUAAUCAUCUAUCCCUAAUAUGUAUGUAUUGACUAGUCUGUUAUUAUAUUUGUAAAUAUUAGGAGAGUUGUUGCAUCAGCAUCCUAAUACAUUUUUUUCUAAUACUCGUAUAGAAGGUAGGUCUCAUAGGAGUAUAGUAAAAAGAUGACUGUAUUUGAGGUGGUUUCCAUGAUAUAAAAAAAUGGUAUUGCAAAAUUGUUGGAGCAAAAAAAAGCAUAGUUAUCCCUAAAAUAACAAUUUUAUGUGAAUAGUAAGAGGUAUUAAAAAACAGUUGAAGAUGCUUUUAGUCCACUUUAACUCCUCGGCCUGUUUGGAUCCAUUAGCAAUAAAAAUUAUCAUCUAAAAUUAGUACUAGCGGACCAAAUAGAUCUGCUAAGAGCAGCUCUAAAAGAUUGGCUAAAACUAUUAACCAAAUCUUAUUUUUUAGUUAUUUUGUAAAAUAGAAAACUUCUUAAAAAAAGAAGACGUCCCCAACACCCUUGCUAAUUUACGAAGUCACAUAGCGAGUGCCCGUGGUUGGCUAUAUAUAGCCACCGAAAAUUAAAGAAUAGCUAGCUUCCUAUUUUACAAAGUUAGCUGUUGGAGUCUGGUUUUUGCUAUACAAAAUUCUAAAAUAGCCUACACGGCAAAAAUAGCUAAGUUGUUGGAGUUGCUCAACUUGCUAAUUAUGGUGAAGGGCUACUAACAGUUAGUUCUAUUAGUAGGUUUAGAAUUGCUAAUAUGUGCUAAUAGUUCAUAUAUACCUUGAACUUACUCUCUAACCACAUAUUAGCAGGUGGAUUCAAACAAUCUCUUCCUAAUUAAGAAUUAGGUAAUGGAUAAAACAGGCCAUAACUGCUGUAUUAGCUGUCAGUUAUGAUGUGAACUACUCCCUCCAUCCCAAAUUGUAAGUCAUUCCAAGAAUCUUGGAGAGUCAAACUUUUGUAAUUUAACCAAAUUUAUAUGAUAAAAUAAUUAUUAUUAUGAUACUAACUAAGUAUCAUUAUAUUCUUCCUUAAUUAUAUUUUCAUAGUAUACUCACUUUACGUUACAAAUCUUAGUAUUUUUCUCUAUAAUUUUGGUCAAACGUGAAAAUGCUUUGACUCUCCAAGAUUCUUGUAAUGACUUACAAUUUGGGAUGUAGGGAGUAUCUGUUAGGGCACUCAUAAUGCAGACUUUAUCAUAGAGUCUAAAGUUAUUUAUUACCUCGAACAAUGUGGACUUAGAGUCUAAAUAAGACUUGGAGUCUUAUUUUUUCUACAUCUUUCUUCAAUAAAUAUGCUGCCACAUCAGCAAAAUACCAUAAAUAAUAUGUAAUUAAUUGUCUUGGACUCUAUAAUAGAGUCUUGCAUUGUGAGUGGCCUUAGUACACAUUUGGAUGGACUAGCGGUUUAGUCCUGGUAAUCAAACACGUCUGGCAGAAAAACCGAACGGACAUCAAGUCACCAAGUGCAGCACAAGACCUUCGGAGAUUGGAACAAAAGAUCUCUCCGCGCUGGAACCCGGAACCAGCAUCCGUGUGGUGUGGCUGCGACGCCGCGACCACCCAGCGCACACACGCCACUCCGAUUGCAACGCCGGAAAAUGACAGCAGACCGGAAGAAUAAUCGUGUGGCCGGACAUGGCCCUCACCGCUAUUAGAUUUCCACUGGGCUUGGGCCAGCCAGACUCAGACGCAAGCGAGCUCCCUGAACCACAAGCACACCCUCCAAAUUGCAAACUGAACGAAACGGAGGCACAACUAGUGUCGACUCUCUCUUUCCUUCUGAGAUCUUCUGAAUCAAAUUUCUGCGUCGUCACUGCUGCGAGAUUCAGGCCACGUAAACUCUUUCUUGUUUAGAGAGAGAGAAAGAAAGAGAGAAGAUUCAGAUUACAUGAGUGCAUGACGACCACAAAUACGCGGCUGUUACUUGAACGCUUACAGCACAUCGUGUUCUGCAACGGCGCAGCCAUCUACGGAUAAGCUUUGUGACGCCAAAACCGUGCCGUAGCAGGAAAACCACGCAGGCCGCCUCGCGGAAAACGCUCUCGUCGCUCGAAUUUCCGCGCUGACCUACACACGCGCCUGCACAGCACAGCACAGCACAGCUUGACAAGAAAAACUCGGCACCCUCGAAUUCAGAAAAAGAGGGAAAGGGAGGGAAAACAUCGCCUGCGCCACUAGAAAACCAGUGGUGGCAGACGAGCCGGGGGGAACGUGCGGCGGGGGAGGAGCAGGGCACACGACGGGGGUCGCCGUCGCCGUCGCGGUAGCGGGGCCGAGUCGUGCUCGUGCCGCGCGCCCGCCAGCGCGCGAUCAAAUUCUUGGAGGUGGAGGCGCGUCUGCGGCUGCGGUGGGUAGGAGGAGCGGUGGUCCAGGUGACGAAAAGGAUCGAUCGGAUCGCUCCGAGAUGGCGCAAGUGGCCCGACCGGUCCUGCUUUCUCGGCUGCAGCCAGGUCAGGGCGGGGAAGAUGGUCGUGGCCGGCCAUGGAUGCUCCACCGCUCUCCGGCCAGCCGGCGUCAGGGUGGUCCCCACCCGGGGAGAUUAACGGCUUACAGCUUUGCUUUCCUGGAUUCUCUUCCUAUCCAGAUAUCCUAUCCUUAUGGGGGGGUGACUGUGACGACGUGUCGAUGUUGAGAACAGUUUCGCGGCUUCCGAGUCCUCAGUCACUAGGAUCGAUUGUCGUCUUAGUCAGCAGACGGAUUUGCACAAUCGUUUUCGGCACUUGCCGUAGAUCCAUUAUUGCUAUUGUGUGGACUCGAACAUCAGGAGAGAUGGAAUUUUGUGGUCGUACUGAAACACUGGGCAUCAGCUGAGCCUGGAUUCGUAAGAACAACAUGUUGAAAAUAUCAUAGCAUCAGGCCUGAAAUAUCAAGCCAGUUGCAGACAAUCCAUUUCAAAGCCGAGCUACUGCAACAACCAAACACAAGUGGUCCUUACAAGGAGCAGUUAACAGACUCUCCUUGACAGUUUCAUGGGAGAAAAUUAUUGGCCGACCGGGAUUCAGCGAGCUAAAUUAAGACCGACACGCAUCAUGCUAAAAAGAUACAACAGCCGCCGUCGGAGUCAGACAUCCAGGUUAAGUAAUCGUCAAGUGCACCAGUCAGUGUAUCCGAAUUCUGGGAUCUCAAGGCGAGAUCGUCACGGAACGGAAUGCUAUAAAUGGAGCUGCCGCUUGGUGGGAGCACUGCUGAAACAUCACCUUCCUUGUCUGCACAGUUCGUCAGAAGACAUUUGUUUAUCAAGUGAUGGGUGCAAAGCAAACAUGACUAGUAGAAUAGAAUGGCAUAUGCCGUGUAUGGUCCUUUAAUCAGCGAGAGUGAAAAUGAAGUAGCACUAGUGAGCAGAAGGAUAAGUACACGUACCUUCUGGUUGAGCGCGUGGCGCGUCUAACUGGACCACUGACUGCUGAGUCCUCUACAACGGGAUCUCUGGUUUUCUUUGCCCUUGACCGUGACGCCCCUGCAUAAUACAUGAAAGAUGAGUUCCUUAAGAAACUUGAUGUGUUCGUGUUGUGUGGAUAUCAUGGCUGGAAUCAUGAGUCACCUUUGCGAACAGAUUGUGUGGACUGAAUCUCCUCAUCGCCACCUUCUGAUCCUGUAAGUGGGGCUGAUGUCUGAGAAUUCUCUGUGCUAGUAUUCGCACUGUGUUCUGGUGUGUUCUCCUUAUUUUCGGUGCUGCUAUCCACCGAAGGAUCUGCAACCGGAUCUCUGGUUUUCUUUGCCCUUAACUGUGACACGCCUGCAUCAUACAUGAAAGAUGAGUUCCUUAAGAAACUUGACGUGUUCGUGUUGUGUGGAUGUCAAAGCUAGAAUCAUGAGUCACCUUUGCGAACAGUUUGUGUUGAUUGAAUCUCUCCAGCGCCACCCGAUUCUGUAGCUUGGGGUGAUGUCUGAAAAUUCUCCGUACUAGUAUGGUCACUGCAUUCUGGUGUGUUCUCCUUAUGUUCGGUGCUGCUAUCCACCGAAGGAUCAACUACCUCGCUAGUUUCUUCUGCCACGGACACAUAAAUAGACAGGUCAGACCAUCCAUGCAAGAGAAACAGUGAUACUACCCUCUAGUGCACAGAACAUAAACAGCUAUAUAGCCUCACAUGGUCGAUUAUAGCAGUUAUAUAGCAUAGAGGAUAAGGAGCAUCAGGAGGAAAUGAGAACUCUUCUACUUACCUUCAGUAGAAUUCCCACUGUUCUGACUAACUUCCUUAGUAGCCAGAAAUUCAUCAAGUGAGCCAAUUCUCUGUCUGUGUGCCUCAGCAUUUUUGGUUGUUUCCUCCUGUUCUUUCUUUUCCUGAUGAACCUUGCUAAGUUUCUCCUCAAAUUCCUCAAUGCAAACUUUUAGCUCAGGUUUCGCAAACUUCUUGCACUGAUUGGUGGAAUCACCAUAGAUAAGUGAAAAAAAAAGAUUGUUCAUAAAUUUAGUGAUGCUUUAUUAAACCAAACUGAAGCCUACACAAACAUCAAGGCUAUGCUACCAACCUUUGAUAUUACGCUUCUGAAGUGGUUCAUCACAGAAUCUUCAGACAAUGCAUGCUCAAACAUCUUAAAAUUAUCGAUGAGUUUUUUCAGGCCCUUUUCAGUGAAGGUUAGCUGAGAAAGGCAAUAAGAGAUAUACUCCCACUGUCUGACAUCUGAAACACAUGCAAAGAAAGAGUCAGGUGUCUGAGAAAUGUUAAAAUGCAUGUCUUACAGCAUAAUUGUCUCGAGAAAACAAAGAAUUAAAUGGCUGAAACAAAGAAAUGAGUGUUAUAUAUAGCUAAAAUGUAGACAUCAAUCACGGGUGCAAGAGUGUCGAAAAAGAGCAACUUGAUCUCAUCUUAUUUCUUAUAUGUGCAAUGAUCUCUCCUUUCUAUUUUACAUAAUGCGGUAAUGUUUCACUCCUAUGCUGUUGCAAAUUUCUUACUCUUACCACCUUUUUGUUCACAAUAAAUUGCCACUUCCUCAACACUGAGGCAGGCUCUUACCCUAAGUAACUUAUUAACAUUAAGUACAAGCACCCACUUAGCUAGGUAUCAAACCAACUUUAUGCAAAUCAUGACUUCCUUAGUAUGCAUGCUGGUCAAAUGUGACAAGUACUAGCAAACAGAUGGGGUACUAUUUAUCCUAUUGAAGGCAUAAGCAUAGUACCAUUUACUCCAGCAAACCUAUUGCACAGCUUAUCCACAAGAGCUUCCAUUUGUUUGUCCUGGGAUCACAAUUGCAACAGUAUAUAGUUACUAACAAGUAAUGUGGAGUAUGCACAACAUGCAAAUGAGUGAAGCAUUAAACAUUAUACCUUCUUAAUUGAAUUAAUUAAGAACUGCAUAAUAUUGCAAAAGGUUUCUUCUUUCAGGUGUUGAUUGCACAGUCUACCCAAGAUAUCCGGAAGAAGAUUAUAAAUUGGGUUGCUUCCUUCAAAGGCCACCAAUAAAAAAGAAGCAAAUUUGUUAGAUAUAGAAGAGAAACUCUAGCAUUCAAGUUAGUCAACCAAUGUUUCUGACACAUGUUUCCAUACCUUUUUUUGACAACUCAUGAAAGAAGAGUUUGGCCAGGCUUGAUAUCCUCUCAUCUUCAUCUUCUAUUCUUACAGCCAUUUCAUUUAUAUACCCUUUAACCUACAAAAGAUUUUCAAAGUGACUGAAAAGUAACAUAAUGGUGGGAUGGAGAGGAGGAGGAGGAGGAGGAGGAGGAGGAGGGGAGAGAGAGAGAGAGAGAGACCUUCAUCAUAUCAUUCAAUAUAAGAUGAGAAAUGACCAGCACAGCGUUCUUCCUCACUGACACUGAAGGAUCACGUAACCGGGCAUAUAUAUACUCUGUCCAAGGUUCUAAGAGGUUUGGGAAGCGAACUGCUAAAUCACCAAGCGCUAUAGUGCAGUUGGAUCGGACAAUUUCAGAAGGUGCACUUUCAGCAACAGUAAACAAGAUUUGAAGAUUUGCUUCGCUGAAAGUUGAGUGUUAAUGUGAGGGAGUGCUUUCAUGAAAUGCUCAUUGGUCCACAAUAAUGAACAACUAGAGUCAUGCGAAAGAAAAAAAAACUUACCAGAACUCUGCAUCAAUGAUCAUUAGCCUGCAAAGAGCAAGCAUUGCAGAAGCUUGUAGGUCUGGGAACUAGAUUCAAAAGAGAAGAAAUUAGUAACUGUAGAUAGUAACAAGAAAAAAUGUUUAAAUGGAAUACAGGAAGCCCAGUUGACUAUAAACCUUUUGCAGCAAUGUAAGAUUCCUGCAGAGUUUUGAGAGAAAUGGCCCACAAUGUCCUAUGAGAUUCUUUUUAGAAGAACAGCAAACAAUUUCCUUUUCUGCUCUUUCAGCAAGGGACUCGAUUGCAAUAUCUAUGGUUGCACCAAGUCCCAGUUCGGCAUUUAUGCCUUGUGCCUGUUACACAAUAAAGCACAACCUGAACUUAACUGAAACAAUGACAAGUGAAAAGUGACAAGUUCAGAAAGGACAGAGAUUUAGCACUCAAGCCAGAAUUACCUCCGUACUUUUAGACACGUCAGACUGGAGAUCCACAGUGGACUGAGAUUUUUCAUUCUUCCGUAUCUGUUUCUGAACUUUCCUAACAGAAUUCUCAAUGUACACCAAAUGAUUUAGUGCUAUAUGGCUAAUAACAAAAAGAAAUCUACCCAGCUUUGAAGGUGAUACUGAUGACAGAGAGGCAUCAUUCUCAGUUUCAAUUCCAUUUGACACAUCCUCGUUUCCUAAAACACUGAAUACAGAACUGAGGGACUUCUUUGCAGUCUCAGUAGCAAAAAUUUCAGGAGCAGGGUGUAGGGUGUAGAUGGUGCUUAUAGCUUUAUCUGCAGCUCCAUACCAUAUUUUCUCAGGAAUUGAGAAGCUUGUUACCAAACCUUGCAAUGCAGCAAAUACUCUACUACUAGUAUUUAUCAGUUUGCCCUUGUCUUCAUCUGAUAAUCUCUGCAAAGCAAGACAUGCAGUUCUAGCAAGCAGAGGCUCCUCCUUAGCCCAGCGUCCAAACCCAAUGUCAAUAAUAUCUUGCAAGUGAGCACCCAAAAUGCUGGGAGACGACUUAGCAGCCAUACAAAGAAUUGAUAGAGCUCCACGGCUUUGCACUGGUCUGACUCCGUUUAUGUUAAAGCAAAAAUAGUCCCACAGUGCUGAUACCUGCAAGAAGCAACAGGUCAUAGAAAAUAUCCUCAGAAGCAACAUAAGAUAUCACCAAACUGAAGUAAUUUAAUCCAAAAAAAUGGUUAUAUUUGGGAAGAAGCUAUAUAUGACUGCAGUAAUCGAAGAAAGAAAGACAACAAAUCAGUAGACAUGGAAAAAUUCCAAUUUCUUCUGUAAUCCCAAUUCAUAUAUAUAGAGGUCAAUAAUUAGGAUCUUGAAGAAGCAAGCAUCUUAAUUGCUCCAAUCUGUAAAACUCAGGUGCUCAGUCAGUUUCAAAUGUGUUGCCACAUUUAUUUAUUCUUUACAACUGAAUUAUAUUUUAAUCACUGAACUGCUCAGUUACUUUAGCUGGAACUAACAAAUAAUCACAUUCAAAGUGGUAGCCAAAGCAAAUUGAUAGGGAAGAAGGGUGCACCGUGCUGGAUGAAAUUUCUGCUUUUGAAACUAAGGAACUAACUAAGCUCUCGAGAGCAGCGAGGUCACCAAUGCUACAAUCAAUGGCAAGGUCUAACAAACGUUUCGCCGUUUCUGUUGGGCUUUUCCUUGUGUAUAAAGUAAUGAAUGCACUCUCCACUGCUUCAUAUAUUGACUUAUCCUGAGAAAAUACCUGAAAAAUACAAAGGAUCAAGGAAUAUUAACAAAUAACAAAUACAUAACAAGCACAAAAACCAGAGAGUUUUUGGGAUAUUACCAGAGGUAACAUUUUCCUGAGAGCUGCUUCUGAUCCUUCGAUCUGAAAUUGUCUGCAUCUCAUCAGUAAAAGGAUGGUGUUCUCAACAUCAGUAGCUGAGGAUGAUGCCAACAACUGAACAAGAAUUGGCAUUAACGAAGUUAUACACUUUGAAAACCGCAGACCAGCUUCAAGUGAUGCAACUAAAGCUCUUAUUUGUUCCAAAUUUGUUAUAUCCACAAUCGUAGCAUCAUGAUCAUUCUGAUCCUGACUUGAUGCUAAACAGCUAUCACUGACACUUUCAUCUUGCCCCAGGAUCACUUCACCAGGCGAACAAUCGUUUGCAACCUCAUCUUUGUCUGGAUUUGAGGGCUCCAUUCCUUGUAAUUUUUCCUUGUACUUUUCUAGAGUUGCCUCAAAGGUUGCAGUCCUUAACUGAGGUCCAAAAGGGUUGUGUUGCAGCAUUGUGAUGAGAAGCUGUAGUGCUGAUUUUCUCACAAUAGCACUUUUGUCCUCCAGUCUCCCUGAAGCAACUGAAGCCACUUCAUUCCACAGGCCAAUUGAGAUAGAAUUUUCUUCACAAAGCUCAGACCACACCUGAAGCACACGACUCCUUGUGUAUGCUGACACAUCCCUACAGCGCUCAAUCAAAAUCUCUAGCAUAGCCUGCUUACUUCGAAGCCGAGCAUUGCUAUCACCCUCAACAUCCUUGAAAGCCUUUGCAGCCAGCUUUCCCAAAACUCCAACAAGAGCAUUUCUGAUCUUAUAUGACUCACCACCAAAGUGAGGUAUCAAAACACCAAUGUUGGUUGACAUAAGCUUUGGCAAGCGGUCUGCAAGUUCUACAAGGAAUCUCCCAACAUUAUCAGCACCAACACUAUCUCUUGCGUAUUCUUUUGGGUCAGCCCGACCUAUUUCCCUAACCAGGGAAAUUGCGAGGCUUCCGUCACCAAACUUUUUCUCUGCGGAAGCAACUGCUUCUGCAAGAUGAGGAACAGUGAAAUCAAAUUUGUGGAUCAGAUGCGAGACAGAUGCACUGAUUUGAGAAACUCUCUGAUGCUUUGUGGCAAUUGCUCCAAUUAUCCGGCACAGACCAUUUCUUGUAUCCUCAUCUUUUAACACAUUCUGAUUUUCACAGAGGACAAAAGUACACCUACAUGUUAUGAAAGUGAUGUCAUUCCAAAAAAAAAAGGUGGGUUACUGGAAAGUACUGUAGUCAGUUCCAGAACUUACUUUGAAACGAAAGAGAGAUAUCGUUCAUCAGUUCCUCCAGGACCAAAAAGCAGUGAAAGGUCAGCUUCAAGAGAAUUGGCAACUAGACUCAUGAUCCUGCCUCUUUGAGCUUCCCAAUUCCAAGCAUAUACAUGAUUCUUCUUUCGACCGUGUGCUGUCACCUAAGUUCUCAUGAAAAAAUGAAGUCAACUCAAAAAACAAGAGCAUAAAUAAUCUUUAGGAUAAUUGUAUCUUCUGCAGAAAAGUCACCUUAGCCCCUGUGCCGCUUUCAGCAGCAGAUUCCUCUGUGAGAACAAUAGAAAUGAUAAAGAAGGAGUAGAUCUUGAGGGCAUUGCGGUGUGAGGCAAUGCGAUCAGUGAUCGGGGUAGUAUCAGAAGGGGAUGACAUGGAUGCCCGGGAAAGUGAGUCUAUGUUGGGUAGAAGGACACUGAGGUUGGAGCGCAAGGUCUCAACAAUGUUAAACUUAAGGGCUGGGGGUAAGCAAUUGAAAUCACGAACAAUAGAAUAGAUGGCAUCGAACACCUCCUGUUCCUCAAUGCAGAAGAGCUCCUUAUCAGAAAGAUCAAAUGAUGCACCUUCAGUUUGAAUCAGAAUAAGAAAAAUAGUCAGUUCACUUAACAAGAUCUUUCAUUCAAAAAAUAAAGCACCAAAACUAGCUAGAUCUCUAAUUUUUUUAAUAAUAACUUUCUAAUUGCACGUUGCCACAGGUUAGAACAGCCAACACUGUCAAUAGUAAGACUGUAGCAUGAAAAAUUGAAAAAUAAGGGGAAAGGUCUAUUCCCAUCAAGCAAUUGCUAAUAUUUUGUUUUGAUGGAACAGUGAUUGCUAAUAUUACAGAGACGACAAUGGAGAAUAAAGAUUUAUGAAUAAUUAAAAUAGCAGGGUUAUGUAGGGCCACUGAGGCAAAACUUAUAAUAGCUUGUUGGCUUCUCGCACCCACCUUUUCUGAAAUCAGAUCAAGUUUCUUAACCCAGCCAUGUUUAGUGCGGUAAGAUACUAAAGCAACUGCAAGACUUCCGAUUUCAAAAUUGGUUGCAAGCAAGCUCAGACGCUUCUGUGGAAGCGAACGCGAGCAUUUGUCUGCAAACUCAUGUAUUUACAUGCACGCACCGAAUUGCUUGAGAGAGAGAAAAAAAUAGGGAUGCCAGGUUGCCAGCUACAUCCAAAUCAGAAGCUCCGACUAGCUACUGUUCAACAAAACCCUAUUCUAGUGGAUUUUAACCAAGUGACGAUCAAAACCUGAAUCCAAAACUAGGAAUUCUUAACGACUGGUACAACUCGACCAAACAACGAACCCAGCGGCGGCUGGGAGAUGGCGGCACGUACCCUUGACGAACUCCUCGAGGUCGGCGGCGCGGAGGGUGGCGACGGCGACGGGAUUCUGCGGCCGGAGCGAGGGCUCCUCGUCUCCGUCGCCGUCGGUGUCCCGCUCCAGAUCCCGCAGGCUCGACGGGAACACGAACGGCGGGGCCAUCUGGCCGCGGGAGGACGCCGGCGAGCGGAGGAUGGGGAGGGGGAGGCGGAGGGGUUUGGGCUGGGGAGUGGGGAAUGGGAGGGGAAGAGUGGCGAGUGUUUCGAAAUCGAGAGCGGGAGCCGUGAGAUUUCGUGAGGUUGUCCUGACUGUACAAAGGGCCCACGCGUCGUCGCGUGUGAAGGUGGCACCGGUGGUUUGAUUCGAACCGUUUGAAUAGGCGGGGCUAGGGCCUCGUUUAGUUUCGAAAAUUUUUGAGAAAUUGAUAUUGUAGCACUUUCGUUUGUAUUUGACAAAUAUGAUCUAAUUAUGGAUUAACUAGGCUCAAAAGAUUCGUCUCGUCAAUUCCGACCAAACUGUGCAAUUAGUUUUUAUUUUCGUCUAUAUUUAAUACUUCAUACAUACGUCUAAAGAUUCGAUAUGACGGAGAAUAUGAAAAAUUUUGCAAAAUUUCCAGAGAACUAAACAAGGCCUAGCUCGUGACCUCGUGUUGACUGUUUUUCUUUUCUUUUCUUUUUGAUAAAUGAGAUCUUGUUUAGUUCCGAAAAGUGAAAAGUUUUCGGUACUGUAGCACUUUUGUUUGUUUGUGACAAAUAUUAUCCAAUCAUGGACUAACUAGGAUCAAAAGAUUCGUCUCGUGAUUUACAGCUAAACUGUGUAAUUAGUUUUUGUUUUCGUCUAUAUUUAAUGUUUCAUGCAUGUGCCACAAGAUUCGAUGUGACGGAAAAUCUUAAAAACUUUUUAGUUUUCAGGGUGAACUAAACGAGGCCUGAGUUCGUGUUAACUGUUGAGUAAAACCCACUGCUAGAUCGAUCAAAUAACUAAAAUAUUCCCGUUUUCACAAUAGACUACAAUUGCUCUUAUGCAACUAGGCCCUGUUUGGUUCUCAAAAAUUUUACAAUUUUUUUAAAAGAUUCUUUGUCACAUCGAAUUUUGCGGCACAUACAUGAAGCAUUAAAUAUAGAUAAAAAAUAACUAAUUGCACAGUUAUCUAUAAUUUGUGGUAUAAAUUUUUCGAGUCUAAUAAGUCCACGAUUGAAUAAUAAUUAUCAAAUAUAAACGAAACUACGAAAGUGUUAUAAUAGCCAUACUUCUUCUCUAAAACCCAAAAUUUUUCAAGAUUUCUCGUCACAUCAAAUCUUUAGACACAUGCAUAGAGUAUUAAAUAUAGAUAAAAUUAAAAUCUAAUUGUACAUUUUAUCUAUAAUUUGCAAGACGAAUUUUUUAAGCCUAAUUAGUCCAUAAUUAGACAAUAUUUAUUAAAUACGGAGUACAAAUGAAAAUAUUACAUUGUUUAAAAAAAAAAUCGUUGUGGAACUAAACACGCGGGAGGUGGCAAGGUUAGCUGGGCGUGUGCUCCAGCACAGGUGUAUGCGAGCUGUGGUCUCACGCCUCGUUUAGUUCAUCCAAAAAUUAAAAAAAAAAUUAAGAUUCUCCGUCACAUCGAAUUUUGGGACACAUACAUGAAGUAUUAAAUAUAGAUAAAAACAAAAACUAAUUGUACAAUAUACCUAUAAAUUAUGAGAUAAAUUUUUUGGUCUAAAUAGUCCAUAAUUGAAUAAUAUUUAUUAAAUAAAAAUGAUUUUUCGGAACUAAACAAGGCCUCGGACAAAAGCAUCGAUGGGGCUACGGUACACAAUUGAUUCUUCCAACCCAGACAUACAGUACCAUCUUUUCAUGGUCUAAUCGUUUGUAACUUUAACUUUUGUCAUAAUUUUUAUGUGCUUGCUCUCUCCCAACGCGCUCCAAGGUGUGUGCUUCAUUUUUUGUCAACCGAAGCUAUCGCAGCUCCUCCAGGAUCUGAUCGCAAAAGAAGGCUCUUGCAGGAACCUCUAAGGGCUUCUGCAACGGAAGUUAAUAGAGGUGUUGGUCUCAGGGAAAAGAGAAAGACCACGUAGAUUAAAAAAGUAUGAGACUGUAUUUUCUCCAACGCAAACUAUCAUAGUCGUACAGACGACGUUAGUGUUGUCAGCUGUGUUCAAGAGCGUAAAUCAGAGUGAGCCAGUGACUUUUCUCUUGCUGGUUAACCUCCAACGCGCUCCUCGUUGGGUGCUCUGUCUUUUCGUCAGGUGAAGCACUCGGCUCCUCUGCAGGCUAACAUGACACACUGCGGAGCAGCACUUCGACUCAACGUGGCCUUCAAAUGCGGACGUUGAGUCUGGAACCACCCGCCACCUUGGCGCGUUGGGGCUGGCCUAAGACCAGUAUCAGUUGAGGUUUCACCAGGAUGUCAUGUACAUUUAUUAAAGCGACAUGUCAGCAAAACUGCACUUUUUGCAUAAAAUGAAGAGGAGAGAGAAGGAAGUAGUUUCACUAUGGUGAAACUCUGGGCGUUGUUUCCCACGCGGUGAAACGGGAUGAAAUUCCCACUGAAGGCCACAUCGUUUCACCAUCUUGCAUGUGAUCCAAUCAUUUUGCAGCAAUUAAAUGCUUUGCUUAGCCUUGGGAACAACAAAGUGAAAUGCUUCAUUGCUGGGGUUAUUUCAUAGAUGGUUUCAUUUCAAUCUUGAUAACGUGUUGGUAUGUGAAACCGUGCAGUGACACCGUCCAUUGAGACUGCGUAGUUUCAUGACACAGUUAUCAAGACUAUAAACUAGGUAACCGAGCCACAUUAGUUUUAUGGGGAUGAAACACCUCUCUCAUCAUAUGAAACUCCUUCAUUUAAUGACUCUGCCAAGUCAGCAAUUUUGCUUAUGUGUCAUUAUAUUUAAUAUGAAAGACACUUUCAUAAAACAUGCAUUGAGACUGACCUAACAGUCUACGAAGCCAGGGGCGGAUCCCAAGGGGGGCUGGGUUGGCUCCACUGCCCAUUAAGUUACUGUUAAUUAGCCUUAAAUUCUUAUUAAUCCUUAGCUUUAAUUCUAAAUAUUUACUAGUUAGCUUCUCCUUUGAUCUCAUCCUGGAUCCGCCACUGUACGAAGCAUACAUCCGUGAUGAUUUGAACGCCAAAUAUUGACACGGAGGAUGGAGCUAAUGUACACGUUGUAGCGCUGGGGUGGCCUAAGACGAUAUGAUAUGAGAGAGAAGCAUGUCUCUUUUGAGCAUCCACAUUCAUUCCGCAUGAGGUCCAAGGCACUCAACUUUUAUAUUAUUUGCUUAUUUUUUAGCCCAAUUACCAUAAUACUCCCUCAGUCUCAUAAUAGAUGAGAAAGAUAUAUGUCUUUGGAUUCAUUGAUGGCGCUCACCUUGUCUUGCUAAGCAAAGUUUACAAGGUUUAGUUCCUUUAUUUACUCCAUUUACCAUUGUUUGGUCAAGAGAACCAAUUUGGCUCACCUUUGUUGGCGAGGUUAGCUUUGUGUCGACGAAAGCUAGUCGGCAGUCUACCUUGGGGUAUACCCACGGUAGUAGUUUAUCGGUAGACGGUGCGCAAACUACGAACUCGAUGGUGACGCAAGACACGGACAAGCUUUUUAUCCAGGUUCGGCCGCCGAGUUGGCGUAAUACCUACGUCCUGCGUCUGGUUGUAUUGAUUUGUGUUGAGAGAAUAUGAUGUAUGACUUGUCCUCUAGGGGACCCCUGCCCCUCCUUAUAUAUUCUGAAGGGACAGAGUUACAAGCAAAGUAUCCUAUUUGGUACAAAAUCUUGUAGCCUUGCGGUGCACGCCGACCAGUCGUGCGCCGCACGUCUUCAUCUUGUGGGCCGAGCCACCUCUGAUGGUGCGGCCCAUAUAGGCCCAUGAGGGUAUAGGGGUUUAUACCCCCACAGCUAGUCCCCGAGCACCAUGUAUUGUGAUGUAACACGCCGUCUUGAGCUUCUUCGAUCAGCGAGGCUUGACGUCUUCAAUAAACAGGAAAGUCGCCCAAACAGUUGCAACGGUAUUUUGACCAACUCAAAAGACAGUUGAUCAACAUUGACAUCGAAGAAGCAGGUUGUUCGAAGAAUGCAUGGUGCUCUUAAUUAAAAAAGAUUUCUUUCCUGGUGAAGUGUGCCCACUUUACUUUUCUGAAAAGUAUAGUCUUUCAAAAAGCAAGCAUAUUCACCGCAAGGUGAAGUGUGCCCACUUAGUCCCCGAGCCUGGUAGUAGGUGACGUAGGCACGUGGUGCCAGGGUCAAAAGAAAAGUCCUCAAAGAAAUUCUGAAACUGAGAUGUAUCGCCAGAUGCAUUGUACCGAUGUAGUCCCCGAGCUUGCUGGAAGGCGAAGUAUGAGCCUUGUAGCAAGGUUUAAAAAGUUGAAUUUACCAGUCCCCGAGCAUAUCAUGCUCGUAUGCAAUUGAAUAGACUAAUCGACCAGUCCCCGAGCAUAGAACGCUCGGUGGUCGGUACAGUCCCCGAAUUCUCAAAUUGGUGGGCUGGUCGACCAGUCCCCGAGCGUGUAGUGCUCGGUGGUCGGUACAGUCCAAAAACUCUCAAAUUGGUGAGCUGAUCGAACAGUCCCCGAGCGUAUAGUGCUCGGUGGUCGGCAUAGUCCCCGAGCACGGCGUAGGGACCGGUGGACAAGUCCCCGAGCGUGGUUGGGAACGUAAACAUGCUCGGUGGUCGGCACAGUCUUCGAGCACAGCAUAGAGAGUAGUCGACAAGUCCCCGAGCGUGGUUGGGAACGUAAACGUGCUCGGUGGUCGGAGCAGUCCCCGGGCACAGCGUAGGGAAUAGUCGACGAGUCUCCAAGCGUAGCUUGUCGACUGGGCCAAACUCCUGAAAAAUAAAUAUAAAGAAUUGGUAGUACAUGAUGUAUAAAUAAACUUUAGAUAAAAAAUCAGUACUAAGAUAAGUUUUAGAUUUUUUGUUAUAAAAUUAGCACGAGUAGUUAAUUCGUCCUAGAGCUUGUACCAGCUCUGGUUUAGCCAACAAUCAGCAUGAGGUGCGGAACCUAGACACGCGUGGGAUUGCCAGCCUCGCCAGAGAGCUACUGCCGACCACCCGGAACGCAGAGAGCGGAUCUCAUGCACGUGUAGGGAGGAGUCGGAGACAGUACCGGCUCUGGAAAACUCGUGUAGGAGAAAAAACUAGUCGGCUAAACAAAAAGUUGUUUUGAAGGAUAAUAAAAAAUAUUAUGCCAAAAAUAAAUAAAAUAUUAGAAUUGUACUUAUCUUUGGACGAAAGUCUGGUCGGGAGAGUUGCUUGACUUGUCGUGAUGGUGGUCGCGGCUGUCGUAGCGCCGUUCUUCGUGGCGAUUAUUAUUGCGACUCGUGGUCAGAGCAAGUAGGCCACACAACUUGGUCGAUAGCCUGAGCAGGUCGGUGUCGUCGAUCUGCCUCCCUUUGUAGCAGAGAAGCGGGUGACGCGUUGUCGGCGUGGUCGGAGACGUUGCUGGAGUAGUUGAAGUCGUAGCCAGCGUGGUUGAAGCCGCCGCCGACGUCGAUGAAGAAGUGGUUGGCGCAGAUCGGAUCUACACCUCCUCCGUGGUCGUGACGGUGAAGCUGUUGAAGCUGACGGUGAACGUGAAGUCGCCCGCCAUGGCCACGAAGUCGGGGAUAAUGACCAUCUCGUUCGUCGGGAGAGCUGUACGCACACCCCCUACCUGGCGCGCCACUGUCGACGAAAGCUAGUCGGCAGUCUACCUUGGGGUAUACCCACGGUAGUAGUUUAUCGGUAUACGGUGCGCAAACUACGAACUCGAUGGUGACGCAAGACACGGACAAGCUUUUUAUCCAGGUUCGGCCGCCGAGUUGGCGUAAUACCUACGUCCUGCGUCUGGUUGUAUUGAUUUGUGUUGAGAGAAUAUGAUGUAUGACUUGUCCUCUAGGGGACCCCUGCCCCUCCUUAUAUAUCCUGAAGGGACAGAGUUACAAGCAAAGUAUCCUAUUUGGUACAAAAUCUUGUAGCCUUGCGGUGCACGCCGACCAGUCGUGCGCCGCACGUCUUCAUCUUGUGGGCCGAGCCACCUCUGAUGGUGCGGCCUAUAUAGGCCCAUGAGGGUAUAGGGGUUUAUACCCCCACACUUUGUCAACAAGGAAACAAAGUUACCUAACUGAGAGAUCUAAACUUGCCAUAUAAGCAGAGAUGUAUUGUAAAAAGAUAAAUGUGUAUUGAAAAAGUGAAAACAACAACUAAUUUAGGACACACGUAAAAGGCCAGGGAAACAACGAAGGGAGUAAAAGGCCAGGGAAACAAGUAUCAUACGACGAAGGGAGUAUGGUAACGAGUGAUUUUUUUUAAUCAAAGGUUCUUUUUAAGGGAAUACACUGGCUUCGGCAAUAGGCAAGAUUGUAGUAGCAUAAUGAGCUACAGGAUCAGCUGAUUCUCGUGGGACAGAGACAUCAGCCCUAUAUUUUUUUAGUUUCAAUGGAUGGUUAUCUACAAGACAUAUUGGUCUUGCUUAGUCUAAAUUUUUUUCUUGUUUCCGGUUAUCCAGCUGGUUGACUGUAAGCCCCUUAGGUGAAACUUUGUAAUAAUUGAUCUGAUUCUAUCCAUAGAUAGAUGAAGCCGGAUAUGAACUAUCCAUUAUUAAAAAAACUAAUGAGGUGUGAUGUUAAGACCUAUUGUAUCCAUCUCAAUAGUCCCUUUUUUUACAAAAUCAAUAAAACCUUGAGCUCACCGAAUAAUAAAAAAGCACUAGUGUACCAAAUAAGUGUCAUUCAUUAAUUUGAGAUUUUUUUUAUAUUAAACCUAUCAAGAUACACGCAUUGAUAAUACUAUUUUUCUACUAAUUUAGUUAAACUUAAGAAAACAAUUGAUUUAGUGGAACCAAAUAUUACACUUAUGUAAGAUGUUAAUGUUUUUUUUUGUAUAAAAGCAAUGUUUAUCUGUGUAAAAAAACACUUUUUUCUCAGGAACAUAGCACAUUUGCGCUAUAGACUACAGUAUUGCACCGAAACUCUAAGGCCUUGUUUGGUUCAUGCCGAUAAAUUUUAUUGUCUAUCACAUUAAAUGUUUGAACACAUAUAUGAAAUAUUAAAUAUAAGACUAUUUACAAAACUUAAAACGCAACUAAAGAAUAAUUUGCGAGACGAAUCUUUUGAGCGUAAUUAGUCUAUGAUUGGUUACUAUUACCAAAUAAACAAAAAUGUUACAAUACUUAUUAAACUUUAACACUACCAACAAAACAUCCCUUAAAUCUUUCGCCAAAAAAAAAACAUCCCCUAAAUAAAUCUCUUAAACAUGAAGAGGCUGCAUACCUGGGUGGAUACGCCUGCCUCCCUAUCAAGGGUAGCAUCGAGCACACAUGUCCCCCAAGGAGGUGUCGCCGGACACGUCAAGGCUCAUAACGCUCAUGUGCCUCGCGGCCUCGCCCUGUAUUCCAGUUGAUAUGCAGUGCGAGAAAAAAAAAACUCUAGACUAUCUAUCCUUUCCAAUAAUCAUAGCGAUACAGUACAGUUCAUUUUCAUCCCUCAAAGAGUACAUUUCAUCCCUCUGGACUGUCUGAGCAUGGUAAUCUCAAAAAAAGAAUUAUCUGAGCAUGGUGUAAUUGUUAUUCGCGCUCAAAUUGAAGGGGGUGUGAAGGCUGUCACAACGAACGGAACACUCACUAUCAAAUUGAUAGAGUUCUUCUAGUAUUUUUAAUUAGUAAUAAAAUACUACCAUUAGUCAUAAUACUAGAAAAUCCUCACUAGGAGACAUUUACUAGAAAAAAUUUGUACUAAAUUUUGAAUGCUAAAACACUAGAAGAAGCCCACAUUAAAAAAUUUAGUUGUGACUCACCCUACAACACGUGCAAGCCAUCUAUUCCCUUAGAGCAACUCCAAGAUCUCUUAGCUAAGAUUAGUAGUCAAAUUUCAUUGCCCUUUUAUAAAAUAGAAAUUUCUUAAAAAAAAAGAAGUCCACAACAACCUUGCUAUUUUAUAAAAUUAGAUAGCCAGUGCCAGUGGUUGGCUAUAUAUCGGACACCGGAAAUUAAGGAAUAACCAACUUUCUAUUUUACAAAACCAGAUAGCACAUCUCUUGGAGCCUACUUUUUACUAUGCAAAUUUUUAAAUAACAUUCACAAUAAGAAUAGCCAAGCUCCUAGAGUUGCUCUUAGCUCUGUUUUCUUUUGGUUCGGGGUAGGAGAAAAGUAGAAAUACUUGUAAACUAGGAAAAAAACUCUCGUGUUCUUGUACCUCAAUAUUAUUAUCGUCCUAGCGUUUGGUAAACUCAGGUGGUUGUCUCCUAUUUGUUGUAAUCUUGCGAGAGCAUCUCCAAGAAUACCCAAUAAUCCUUGUCAAUCCUUGAUUUCUCAGAAGAAUGAAAAAAAUGAUCUCCAACAACUCUCAAACUCAUCUCCCAAUCUUUUGACACUCGGAAAAACUCCUUUAUGCGUAAAGAUACAUGGAUCCCAAUAGUAUCUAUAUUGUUCCCCCGCGCGUUGUAUACAUAGGUCAAUCUAAAGGUGAAAGAGUGUGGGAAAGAAUAAAGACUAAAAAAGUUUCUGAUGUAAAUAUACAAAGAGAAAAAAGAUAUAUAUAAUUGGUUAGAAAUAGUAUAGGAUUCCUGUUGUAAAAUUGUCUUCUAAUGAAUUAUUGGAAACUGUUAGAGAUGAUCUUAUUUAUUUCUCUGAUUACUUUUUGGUAAGUUGGAAAACAUCAUCAUUUUAGGAAAAAUUAUUGGGUUCUUUUGGAGAUGAUGCUCUACUAGCUCACCGAUGAUUGAAUCAACAAUGAACGUGUUGCUUUUUGAAAGUGCGCCUUGAAUUGAAGAGUUUGUGGCGUACAAAUUCACAUGUGACAAUAGUAUUUUUUAGGGGUAGGUUGUGAUAGCAUUGAUAAAACUUUCACUAGUUUUUGAAUCGGACGCUGAUGUUAGUAAUUGGCUUGUUUUAAUGUUUUAUGCCUUGCGCAUUGGAUGGCGUUAUUUGAACGGAGGACGGGAUGAGGACCAAUUUAGCUUUUACCCUAGAGCCAAUUCCGUGUAGACCAUUAUAAAAGAUACAACUUCCUUGCAUGACACCGGUUGACCACCAGUUCACAAAUGUCAUCAGGGUAAAAUGUCCCUACUACUACUUGAAUGGACGUGGACUACUGCAAAAUUUUGCUGAUCCACCACGGCAUGAUACAUUAAGAUGAGCAGUGUGCCUAACUAACCUCCUUUCUCACAAGCAUGGGGUUAAGUCCUUGCAAGGAAGCAGAUAUAAGUGGACUUUGUUUGUAUAUCACAAGAAAAUAAAAUGUCAGUCAUGAUUAUAGAGUGCACAGAAAUAUCAGGUAUGUGUUAUGUGAUUUUUGGUAUUUUCUUAAGGUGGAUAAAAAACAAUACAUGUUGCGUGAAAUAUCUUUUUACAUGAAUUGUGGCAGUGAAAAGUUUAAUUUAUUCCAACACUGUUUAGCUUGAAAAUACAACAUCAUAUACAAAGAAUGAACAGAGCUUGAUUAUGAAUAGGGGUAAAGAGAUUAUGACCAGCAUGCAGAAAUCUGUAGUUGUCAAACAAUUCAAAGCAGUGCAAAACUCUUAUCCUAAUUCUCAAUCAAGUGGCCAGAAAGUCUAGAACGAAUGCAUUCAAAAUAAAUAUUUAUGCAUAGAGAAAGGGGCAAUCCUUUGGGGCUAGGAUUCCUGAAAAGUUCAUUGAUCUUCUCCUAUUCUUGGCAUCAUUGUCAGAACAUGAACCACAAUUUUGCCCUUUUGUUCUCUGGCUUUUCCUAUGACUGCAAUCACCCAAAUAUGCUCUUAUUGAUCCAUAUAUUGAGAUCAAAACAAAGACUGCUUUAAUUAAACAAAAAACAAACAACCAUGCUAUGAAAGGGUUUGAGAUGAUGCCUCAUACAGCCUGCUUAAAAUUGGGCAUUAAUGUAUGUGUAGUACAACCCAAAAUCCCAAAUCGUGUAGCUAUGAUAGUGAAUCUGAUGCAGCAGUGCAGACUCCAGCAUUGAUAAGCCGAAACUAUGUUCAUCGGAAUUCAGGAAGCUCCUGAAUAAUAUGUUACACCAGUUUCAGUUUGACUAUUCAAUAAGAAAAUUACACAAAAUACUUGGCACAUAACCAUCAAAUUAGAUUGGUGAUAAAGGAAAGAACACUUCUCAUUCUUGAAAGCAAAACAACAAUAUCUCUUAAUAAACCACUAUCAAUGAAGAUAUUGGAGUCUGGGAAGUUGAGAAAAUGUGGAUUAGUUCUGAGAUAGACCUUAGGCUUUUGUUCAGUAAAUCAGUAGUUUUUGGCAAAGAUUUUUUUUUUCUUCAGAACUCAGUCACAACCUGCAGUAAAAAAAGGGGGUAAUAGAACAUUAAAUGGGCCAAAUUAGAUGAAGAUACUAAAGUGAAUGGAGAACUACUAAACCUUAGGCAAUGUCACAAACACAAAUGGCAUGGAAGAUUACAAGCAAGAUCUGAUUAUCCACCAACAGGUCAUGCUUGAAUCACUUUGGAUUACCCCCACUCCAGCCACCCCUCGGGAUAGGGAAAGACAGUGGCCAGAGAGCUGUUCUAUGCCAGUAACUUCUUGAAACAUUGGCAAGGUAUUCCAAAAUCAGAAUAACACAGGACUGAGCAGAAACAAGCAGAACAAAAUUUAGACAGAUGAAAAAAAACUAUAUGUUAAAGAGUUAAAAAGGCUGACAUGCUUUCUUGUCUUUAGACACUGAAUUGUAGUCGGUAAAGUUUUGAAAAAUUAAUGAAUAAGAAAGCAAACAAAAUUGCAAUUACAAAUAAUUAUGUAUGACGAAUAUUCAUAAACAACAAAAUGUAAUACUAAAAGACACGUUUUCUACAAAAUAACACUUGAUUACCAUUUCAGUUCUUUUAUUUUCUAUUCCUUAGCCAUUCCGAUUUCCACAGAAUACUUUUUAUUUACAGCUAGUGAAACUCAAGAAACUUUAACAUGUUACUGUGCUAGAAUUGCAUUCUCUUGUGAUGAGAACAUAUUACACCUCCAUGAACUUCCAGCGCCACUAAUCCAGUCCUGCCUUGCCAACAAAAGAAAUUAUAGUACUUCUACAAUGACAUAUCGCUAUUGAGGGAACACAUGCACCGCAACAGUCGAGAUCAAGAACAUCGAUGACAAACUGGUAUGAAGGGGAUGACAGACCCCAUGGAGUUGAUCUGACGUGAGUAUGGCAGAGGAGGCAGCCUCCUCCUCCCUCACAGCUGUAACUGAAACAUGUGAACAUGCACAAAGCAAAAGCACAAUGAGAGCAAUGGGAGAAUAAUGACCAUGUAGAAGAGGAAACAACGAAAUGAAGCAACUCGUACGCCCAUUUUGUCAACAAGAACCAAGGGAAAGUGAUUAGUGCGGAAACAAUGUAAGAUACAGCAGCAACACAAGAUGAAGAGCAGGCAUUUAAUUCCAAAUGUCAUUGCAACCUUAAAAAAAAAUCCCAACAAAAUGGAAUUUCAGUUUGUAUACACGUUACCAAAUCCAAACUUGUAAGGAACAGAAUAUCAAUCCUUCUAGUAUAGUCGGCGUGAUCAAUAAAAUAUUUAUGCACAAAACACUUACUUUGUUGAUGGAGCACUGGAUAACUCAACCGUUUGAAAGCCAAGAUGAUUAACAAGACGGGCUAAUUAAUUAAUGAGAAUUGAAAGGUGCCAAUAAAAUUGACAGGCAUGAAACAAAUCAAACAGAACAGCUUGUGGCAAAAGCAGGUACUGGUGUAUGUAAAGACCAUAAGAGAGAUUAGGAAUCUCGACGAGUGAGCAACAAUUGUGAUUCACUAGCACAGGAGACAUCCAUCAAUGUUUCUAUACGAUAGCAAAAGUAGCAUUAGCAGUAGUAUGCAAGGUGCGAUGAUAAGUACCAGGAUGGUGAUUAACAUUAAGAAAACCAGUAGCAAAUAACAAGGUUCAAACGGAUUACACCGAAUUUAUACAUAAUAACUUAGGGUAGAUGGUUAACGCAAAGGGAAACGACAGAGCUCCAACUAGACUUAAGAGUAGGCUGCAUCUCGCGCGCGCACACAAAAGGUGUUUGAUUCCCGACUUUAGUAGUUCUCCACCUCCACCACAUCGUCUCCUUCGUCGUCAGUGACCUCGGCCUCCGAUUCGUCCACCGCGUAGCCAAAUUUUUCUUGCUGGUCGAUGAGGGCCUCCAGGUAGGCAAGCCUUGUGUCCCUGAGAAGGAUAUCUAGGCGGUAGCUGCGUUGGAAACUCUCUGAAUACUUGGCCAGCUGGUCUUCAGUGAGGUUCCUGGACGGGCAGGGAUGUGUGGCCAUUGCCCUGGUAAAGUCGAUCUGCGCCUUCGUUAUCGUCGUCAACUUCUUGACCAGCACCUUCUUCGUCUUCUUCCCGGCCGGCUGGGCCGCCGUCACCGUGGGAACCACGGUAGGGGGGUCCAGUGUCGCCUCGCUCGCCGCCUUGUACUCCUUCUUGAGCUUCAGGAUCUUUCCCUCCUCUGACUUGACCUUCAUCAGGAUCUUACGAUCCUCCUCCGACUCCAGCUUCAGGAUCCUGAAGACCUCCUCCUCCGACGCCGCCAUCUUAUCACCCUCCUCCGACGACGCCAUCUUAGCCUUCUUAGCCUCCGACUUCAUGCUGCGGGUACGGCGACGGGUCCCCUCCUCUGGCGAAGCCUUCUCAGCCUCCGACUUCAUGCUGCGGGUACGGGGGCGAAGGGACCCCUCCUCCGACGAAGCCUUCUUAGCCUCCGCCGCCUCCGACUUCAUGCGGCGGCUACGGGACCCCUCCUCCGACGAUCGCCCCAUUGCACGCGACCGAACCCUAACCUCCCAGGAUUGUGACGAUGCGGCGGCAGUUGGUUUUGGACACGGAAGAUGGAGAAUCCUGGGUUCCAUCGGAUGCGAAUAGGCCAGGCCUGAACCGCAAGUCCGCAAGCC